CGUACAAAAUCAGCAGAGGAUCAAAUACUUUUUUUCCCCUCACUGUACAUACAUACUAACGUACAAAUAAGCACCUUGCUAACGAUAGCUAUGGCCGACAUUAAGGGCAGGUCACCGGCCUCUUAGCAGAGUGCGGAAACCUCUGCGCCAUCAUUCCCUUAUCAAAUAUCAAUACAUACGUGUACAUACUCAAGACUAAAGCGCGCAUUUAAAUGGGGAAUAUUGAAACAUCGGUUUCACAUCCCGAGCAGUCUUCCUGAUACAUGUCCGAAUAUUUCAAUUAGAUUUCCUUGGUAAAGAUUCUAAAUACAAUUGAAUCCACACACGCACGCACGAACACCCACAGCUCAAUAAACACGUUACGCUUUUACACUGAACGAAUGGCAGGUUGGAUGUGGCACUUUGAUUUUCACAUAUUUUUCUACAACAUUUCAGUGUAAGUUUUCUCGGUUGUGCUCUACAGCGCCCCAGUGUCUUAUUGGCUGUCGUUCGGCAUGAUGUCUGAAGCUUCGCUCCACUUGCUUGGGAGCUUCUUCGGGAAAUGAAGAGUGUUCAGCAACUGAGCACAAAGUCCCCGAGCACGUGGAAGCGAAGAAACGUCAGACAUCGUGCCAAACGACGCGCCCGGAAACCCUCACACAGAACCCACCGCCUCCCACAGUUCGCAUCUUCCCCUGCUGGCGUCGAGACAAUGAAGCCGCACACCCGACUCGCGCCGCUCACGAAUUGCUAAACUUGCUGUGCCCAAGGAUAUAUUCGCGUAGACAGUGGUUCGAUCUCCCAGCGUGGCAGCCGAAACAAUGAACACGUUUAUUAAACCUCCCUGCCUCUAUCCACCCAGCAGUAUCAUAAUAUUUAAUUAUACGG